UACGUAGGGUGCAAGCGUUGUCCGGAAUUAUUGGGCGUAAAGAGCUCGUAGGCGGUUUGUCGCGUCUGCCGUGAAAGUCCGGGGCUCAACUCCGGAUCUGCGGUGGGUACGGGCAGGCUAGAGUUCGGUAGGGGAGAUCGGAAUUCCUGGUGUAGCGGUGAAAUGCGCAGAUAUCAGGAGGAACACCGGUGGCGAAGGCGGUUCUCUGGGCAUGUCCUGACGCUGAGGAGCGAAAGUGUGGGGAGCGAACAGG
rnacentral:rRNA from 1 species